rnacentral:rRNA from 1 species
GAUGAACGCUGGCGGCGUGCCUAAUACAUGCAAGUCGAGCGAACAGACGAGGAGCUUGCUCCUCUGACGUUAUCGGCGGACGGGUGAGUAACACGUGGAUAACCUACCUAUAAGACUGGGAUAACUUCGGGAAACCGGAGCUAAUACCGGAUAAUAUAUUGAACCGCAUUGUUCAAUAGUUAAAGACGGUUUUUCUUUCACUUAUAGAUGGGUCCGCGUCGGAUUAGCUAGUUGGUAGGGUAACGGCUUACCAAGGCGACGAUCCAUAGCCGGCCUGAGAGGAUGAUCAGCCACACUGGGACUGGGACACGGCCCAGACUCCUACGGGAGGCAGCAGUGGGGAAGAUUGGACAAUGGGUGAAAGCCUGAUCCAGCAAUGCCGCGUGAGUGAUGAAGGCCUUAGGGUUGUAAAGCUCUUUUACCCGGGAUGAUAAUGACAGUACCGGGAGAAUAAGCUCCGGCUAACUCCG